rnacentral:rRNA from 1 species
UACGUAGGGGGCUAGCGUUGUCCGGAAUCAUUGGGCGUAAAGAGCGUGUAGGCGGCCCGGUAAGUCCGCUGUGAAAGUCGGGGGCUCAACCCUCGGAUGCCGGUGGAUACUGUCGGGCUAGAGUACGGAAGAGGCGAGUGGAAUUCCUGGUGUAGCGGUGAAAUGCGCAGAUAUCAGGAAGAACACCCGUGGCGAAGGCGGCUCCUCUGGGACGGUACUGACGCUGAGACGCGAAAGCGUGGGGAGCG